GAGUUUGAUCCUGGCUCAGAUUGAACGCUGGCGGCAGGCUUAACACAUGCAAGUCGAACGGUAGCAGGAAGAAAGCUUGCUUUUUUUGCUGACGAGUGGCGGACGGGUGAGUAAUGCUUGGGAAUCUGGCUUAUGGAGGGGGAUAACUGUGGGAAACUGUAGCUAAUACCGCGUAUAAUCGAGAGAUGAAAGGGUGGGACCGUAAGGCCACUUGCCAUAAGAUGAGCCCAAGUGGGAUUAGGUAGUUGGUGGGGUAAAGGCCUACCAAGCCUGCGAUCUCUAGCUGGUCUGAGAGGAUGGCCAGCCACACUGGGACUGAGACACGGCCCAGACUCCUACGGGAGGCAGCAGUGGGGAAUAUUGCGCAAUGGGGGGAACCCUGACGCAGCCAUGCCGCGUGAAUGAAGAAGGCCUUCGGGUUGUAAAGUUCUUUCGGUGAUGAGGAAGGGGUAUUAUUGAAUAGAUAAUAUCAUUGACGUAAUUACAGAAGAGC
rnacentral:rRNA from 1 species